ACAAGCGGUGGAGCAUGUGGUUUAAUUCGAUGAUACGCGAAGAACCUUUACCGGGGUUUGACAGUGCAGGUGAUCGCCGUUGAAAGACCGGUUUCCUCUUCGGAGGCACCUGCACAGGUGCUGCAUUGGCUGUCGUCAGCUCGUGUCGUGAGAUGUUCGGUUAAGUCCGCUAACGAGCGCAACCCUCGCUGUGUGUUAUAUGUGUCACACGGGACUGCCGGUCUUAAGCCGGAGGAAGGUGGGGAUGAUGUCAAGUCAGCAUGGCCUUUAUAUCCUGGGCUACACACACGCUACAAUGGCCAACACAAUAGGUUGCUAAGCCGCGAGGUGGCGCCAAUCCAUAAAGUUGGUCUCAGUUCAGAUUGUAGGCUGCAACCCGCCUGCAUGAAGAUGGAGUUGCUAGUAACCGCAGGUCAGCUAUACUGCGGUGAAUACGUUCCCGGGGCUU
rnacentral:rRNA from 1 species